CCCCGUCCACUCCACAACUAUGGGCGGCAAGCUGUGAAAAAAGGAGGAAAUAAGCCCGGGCUCGGGCUGCAGCAGUGUGGAGACCUGCUGUAAAGCGGCUGAUCCCAACGCGGACGCCGCGAGCGUGCAUCUAGCGGAGGCUGUGCGCGCGGAGCCGGAAAAAAUGGCA
rnacentral:ncRNA from 1 species